rnacentral:rRNA from 1 species
GAUGAACGCUGGCGGCGUGCCUAAUACAUGCAAGUCGAGCGAAUGGAUUAAGAGCUUGCUCUUAUGAAGUUAGCGGCGGACGGGUGAGUAACACGUGGGUAACCUGCCCAUAAGACUGGGAUAACUCCGGGAAACCGGGGCUAAUACCGGAUAACAUUUUGAACCGCAUGGUUCGAAAUUGAAAGGCGGCUUCGGCUGUCACUUAUGGAUGGACCCGCGUCGCAUUAGCUAGUUGGUGAGGUAACGGCUCACCAAGGCAACGAUGCGUAGCCGAGCUGAGAGGGUUAUCGGCCAGACUGGGACGGAGACACGGCCCAGACUCCUACGGGAGGCAGCAGUAGGGAAUCUUCCGCAAUGGACGAAAGUCUGACGGAGCAACGCCGCGUGAGUGAUGAAGGCUUUCGGGUCGUAAAACUCUGUUGUUAGGGAAGAACAAGUGCUAGUUGAAUAAGCUGGCACCUUGACGGUACCUAACCAGAAAGCCACGGCUAACUACGUGCCAGCAGCCGCCGUAA